AUUGAACGCUGGCGGCAUGCCUUACACAUGCAAGUCGAACGGCAGCACGGGAGCAAUCCUGGUGGCGAGUGGCGAACGGGUGAGUAAUAUAUCGGAACGUGCCCAGUCGUGGGGAUAACGUAGCGAAAGCUACGCUAAUACCGCAUACGAUCUAUGGAUGAAAGCGGGGGAUCGCAAGACCUCGCGCGAUUGGAGCGGCCGAUAUCAGAUUAGGUAGUUGGUGAGGUAAAGGCUCACCAAGCCGACGAUCUGUAGCUGGUCUGAGAGGACGACCAGCCACACUGGGACUGAGACACGGCCCAGACUCCUACGGGAGGCAGCAGUGGGGAAUAUUGGACAAUGGGCGAAAGACCUGAUCCAGCAAUGCCGCGUGAGUGAUGAAGGCCUUAGGGUUGUAAAGCUC
rnacentral:rRNA from 1 species